rnacentral:rRNA from 1 species
AGUGAACGCUGGCGGUAGGCCUAACACAUGCAAGUCGAACGGCAGCACAGUAAGAGCUUGCUCUUACGGGUGGCGAGUGGCGGACGGGUGAGGAAUACAUCGGAAUCUACUUUUUCGUGGGGGAUAACGUAGGGAAACUUACGCUAAUACCGCAUACGACCUACGGGUGAAAGCAGGGGAUCUUCGGACCUUGCGCGAUUGAAUGAGCCGAUGUCGGAUUAGCUAGUUGGCGGGGUAAAGGCCCACCAAGGCGACGAUCCGUAGCUGGUCUGAGAGGAUGAUCAGCAACACUGGAACUGAGACACGGUCCAGACUCCUACGGGAGGCAGCAGUGGGGAAUAUUGGACAAUGGGCGCAAGCCUGAUCCAGCCAGACCGCGUGGGUGAAGAAGGCCUUCGGGUUGUAAAGCCCUUUUGUUGGGAAAGAAAAGCAGCAGGUUAAUAACCCGCUGUUCUGACGGUACCCAAAGAAUAAGCACCGGCUAACUUCGUG